rnacentral:rRNA from 1 species
AGUGAACGCUGGCGGCAGGCCUAACACAUGCAAGUCGAACGGCAGCACGGCAGUAGCAAUACUGUGGGUGGCGAGUGGCGGACGGGUGAGGAAUACAUCGGGAUCUACCCUGUUGUGGGGGAUAACGUAGGGAAACUUACGCUAAUACCGCAUAAGAACUGAGGUUGAAAGCGGCGGACCGCAAGGCGUCGCGCGAUUGGAUGAACCGAUGUCCGAUUAGCUAGUUGCGGGUAAAGGCCCACCAAGGCGACGAUCGGUAGCUGGUCUGAGAGGACGACCAGCCACACUGGAACUGAGACACGGUCCAGACUCCUACGGGAGGCAGCAGUGGGGAAUAUUGGACAAUGGGCGCAAGCCUGAUCCAGCCAUGCCGCGUGAGUGAA